rnacentral:misc_RNA from 1 species
GCAGCUAGAAGUUCCUGAAAAUUCGCAGAAGCUGCACGAAGAAAACCGGUUUUGAUAAUCAUCUGCUAGUUACUUAAAGAAAUGUAUGCAAAUCAGGUUUUUGCGCAUAUUUUUGCGGUUGCAUUUGCCGUAUCAUAUCAAGCAAAAGCAUGAUUAUAAACAAGCAGAAGUGUCAUCAGCCAGCAGCGUGGAGGGGGGCAGCUGAACUUGAUUCGCAUACACAUAGAAUAACGGCUGAUGGGUUGAAACGGUUGAAACCGUUGAUUCAAACAAGUGGUGUUCGAUGCUAGAGGACUAAUGACGGUUAGUGUCUUGAAUAUCAGUGUUCCGUGGAAACAAAGUUCAAUCACAUGUACCGGUAACUGUGACGUUCCUGAAAUCCCUGAAUAUGGAAACGACGAAGGAGCGGGUAACCUUGAUUCUCGGGGAAGAGCGAAUAGAAGCGUACCGUGAUGAUUUAUCGUCGAAGAGCGAUUACUUCGCGUCUCUCUUCUCGCCAAAUUUUUGCGACACUCUAAGCACCGAGCACCGUAUCAAUUAUGAAAUCGAUGCAAAAACAUUGCGGACAUUCGUCAGCUGGACUUCUGAGAGCGCUAAUUCCACCUUCGCCGAUAUUCGCCGCGUCAAACGCAGUCUUUCAAGGUACGCCUCGCAGUAUUCCAGCUUAGACGACGUUCCCGAGUUGCUCGAAUUGGGCGUUUUGUUCGCCGCCGAGGAACUCACCAAAGAUUUGACGAACAUAAUUGCCUGCCGUCGUCUCGAUCCCGAAAAAUCCAUCCAGUUCUGGCGAUUGGCUAAAGAGUUGAAUCUCUUGGUUCUCAGAGAUCUCGCCAAAGCUUCAUGCCUGGAACACCUCUCUGAGGGUCUGCAUUGUUCCACCUAUCUUGAACUUCCCGAAGAAGAGUUUUUAGAUCUGGUAGGAAGCGCCUGCAACCAAUCGUCUCUCGACUUUCUUCUCGAAAUAACUAAACAGUGGCUGGAGCGCAAUGUUCCAUCCGGCGAAAUCGACAGAUUCAAAUUACAUUUUCCAUUUAUGUUGUUGGAGAAAGAUGCUUUGGACAAUGAUCGCACGGAAAAAAUCAAUGAGCAACGGUUGAAGAGCAAUGCACAAUGUGUUGUGGGAUACAAAGUGAUUGGUGAAAACCAGCAGCAAGUUUGUAUUUAUUGUUGGGAUGGAAGUAAAUUCUUUGAAGUUGCUGAAAUACCUAAGUUUUCCAACGUUUCUACCAAGAAUAUCGAAGGCAGGCAGGCUGUAGGGCGAGGAUAUGACAUCUACAUUAUUGGUGGAGAGUAUGGGAUCGGUACAGGAUUAUUUGAAAAGGAAAUAUGGCGCUACUCUACGAUUACAAAGUCCUGGUACUACGUCACCAGUUUGCGGGAACCACGCCGACACAUGGCAGUAGCAUUUUUGAACAACAGACUCUAUGUGAUGGGCGGUGUAGGACGUCGCCGUCUUAAACUCUCAACUGUGGAUGUGUACAACGUUCAUCAAGAUAGAUGGAGCAAGGCGGCGGAUGUUCCUGAGGAAUUCACCAGUGUACCUAUGACGGUCGAAUAUAAUGAAAAACUGAUGAUCUACAAGUCGGCACUUUACACGGAGGAGGCCGAAGGCUAAUGGCAACCUGUAGUGGCAACAACAAAUGGGACAUGAUAUGGUUCUAACAUGCCAGUAUCAAGAGCACUACAUGCAGCAUUUCUCUGGUACUUAGAGAUUGCAACAAUCCAAAGUAUGCCCAAGUUUGGAUUCAAGGAGAUCUUUCAAAUUACCCUGCUACUUGGUUUUCGGAUUGUGCAUCAGCGUUUAGCAAUGUGGUUACCAAUGGGCCGUAUUUAAUCGGUUUUUCACAGAGCGAAGAUA